ensembl:lincRNA
AUGGAGCGCCCGCCCCCUCCUACAGGUACUGCGCAUGUGCAAGUGGCGCGCCGUGGGCCUGGCGCAGGCGCAGGCGCAGACGUGGCUCCUUCACAUAAAUUUUUCCUUGGGCUGGUUUCCUGCAUGUCUUCUAAGUAUUUGCUUUUAGUUUCCGUGUUUUGGUGUUUUGUUUGUUCGUUUUUUUUUGUUUUGUUUUUACGACAAUGCCUUCUAGGGGAACAGUGUCGCUGGGCUGGGCGGUGGAGAGACACCUUUGGCACCAUCGUGCGAUCUCAUGCACCCUACCAGUGGAAAAUCCAUUUGGGAUUGCCCAGUGCACACAGUAGACAUGGAAAUUGAUGAUCAGCAUCCCCAGAAAGAUGAAGCAUUGGAAAGCACUGCAUAGCUCCAUGUUAUCAAUCAAUUAAUGUCUUCAGUCCUUUAAUGUCCUCUGGACAGCUGGGAUGCUUGGGAGAAGACUGUUGACAAGUCUUGUACGUGUGGAAGACACCAUUUUACUUACUUUCCCUUUAUCAUGGAAGGAACACAAGCCUAUCUUACAAAAAGAUACAUAGGACCCCGGAAGAACGAUUUUUAUUCUGAAUCUCAAUAAAAUAUUCUGUCACAUUGCUUUGUAUCAGUAACUAACUCUUAGAGCAAACGUUCUCUUUUUAAGUUUUGGUAUGUUUCUAAAUAAGUCAUGAAUCCAUUCACACACACACACCCACACACACACACAUGCACACACUUCAACUCUGCAUCUAUAGACCUCUCCGUUGCAGUUGAGAUGUGGUGUUGCUGCUGAUGGGGUUGGACAAAGGAUCCUUUCAGGCAAUGCCUAGUGCUAUUUCGUAUAACAUGGGAGUGAAAUCCCUCCACUCUGAUUUUCCUGCCGAGUAUUUUGGUACAUUGUCUCUCUUACUUCCUCAGAGUCGGGAGUGACAAGCUACAGCCUCAGGCUGGAGUGGCUGAGGCUCUAACACAUAGACAGGAGAGCAUUUAGGAGUAGCACAGAGUAUCUUCACUCUGAAGGAAGAGUAAAUGAAAAAUCCCAAGCUGCUCCCAGUUGGUUCUUCUUAGGUCAUUCCUGGAAACAAACUUUGAUAGCCCAAACUCCCACUUCAUGAGUCUUCUUGCUUUUCCUCCUACAAUGAUGAUUCUCACCUACAAUUCUCACCCUGAACGAAAACACGCUUGCACUUGCAGAUGUUGGUAAGGACAAUUCCAAAGGAGAGCUUUACCACGAGAUUUAACUUCUUUGGAGAGUCUUAAAAAUAAGUUUUCAACUAGUUGUUCAUUUAAAAUGCUACUUAAUUUGUAGAACAAGUGAACCUUUCAAAUUACCUUACAGUUUAUAAAGGACUUACAGAUAUAUUAUAUAUUUAGUAGAAGAAAAUAGAGGUGUUCCACCUAUGGGAAGUGGGCUGUGGGCCACUUAGUCAGAUCCCUACUGAGUGUGCAGUAUUAAUGUGCAAUGUGCACAUUUGGGAAGGGAAAUUCAGACAGGCAGUAUAGCAAAGGAAAAUGACGUGGGAAGCACCAGCUCUGAAAGUCCCAGCCUAGCACCGUGGAGUGGGAGGUCCUGCUGCUGGAGCCAUACAGAGCUUGAUUCUAAUCUCAGCUUUGCUCCUCAUAGGGUGGAGGCUUUGAAGCCACAUUUCUUGGAUCCAAAUCAGGCUUUCACUACUUAUUUUGUAAACUUGGGCAGCUUUCUGGUGUUUCUUAUCUUAGGAGUGGAGACAAUAAUACUACCUGAUGCGUAGUAUCGUGAGGACUAAAUGAGAUAUGAUGUACAAUGUUGGGAAGGCGCUGGUGCAUUUUAUGUCUUCAGUAAAUAUUAGCUAUUAUUCUAU